ACACGUGGACAACUACCCUGUGGAGGGGGAUAACCCCGGAAAACUGUGGAUAAUACCCCGUAGGUUAGGGAGGCUGGAAUGCCCCCUAGCUCAAAGGUCCGCCGCCACAGGAUGGGUCUGCGGCUGAUUACGUUGUUGUAGGGGUAACGGCCCAACAAGCCUUUGAUCGGUACGGGUUGUGGGAGCAAGAGCCCGGAGAUGGAUUCUGAGACACGAAUCCUUUUCCUACGGGGCGCAGCAGGCGCGAAAACUUUACAAUGCGAGAAAUCGUGAUAAGGGAACCCCGAGUGCCCGUAAAUUCGGGCUGUCCGACAGUGCAAAAAACUGGUGAAGAAAGAGCCGGGCAAGACCGGUGCCAGCCGCCGCGGUACUACCGGCGGCUCGAGUGGUGGACACUAUUACUGGGCUUAAAGCGU
rnacentral:rRNA from 1 species